rnacentral:rRNA from 1 species
UACGAAGGGGGCUAGCGUUGUUCGGAAUUACUGGGCGUAAAGCGCACGUAGGCGGACUAUUAAGUCAGGGGUGAAAUCCCGGGGCUCAACCCCGGAACUGCCUUUGAUACUGGUAGUCUCGAGUCCGGGAGAGGUGAGUGGAAUUCCGAGUGUAGAGGUGAAAUUCGUAGAUAUUCGGAGGAACACCAGUGGCGAAGGCGGCUCACUGGUCCGGUACUGACGCUGAGGUGCGAAAGCGUGGGGAGCAAACAGG